GACGAACGCUGGCGGCGUGCUUAACACAUGCAAGUCGAACGGAAAGGCCCUUCUUUUGUGGGGUGCUGGAGUGGCGAACCGAUGAGUAGCGCGUGAGUAACCUGCCCUUCACUCUUGUAUAACAUAACGAAACUGGGGCGAAUACCAUAUAGGAUCUUCUGCUGCAUGGUGGUGGUGGGACAGUUUCGGCGGUUGGGUAUGUACUCGCGGCGUAUCAGCUGGUUGGUGGGGUUGUGGCUUACCAAGGCUUUGACGGGUAGCCGGCCUGAGCGGGUGACCGGCACCAUUGGGACUGAUACACGGGCCAGAAGUCGAGGGGAGGGAGCAGUGGGGGAUAGUGCGCUGCGGGCGGACGCCUUGUGCAGUAAAGCCGCGUGCGGUAUGACGGCCUUCGGGUUGUAAACCGCUUUCGCCUGUGACGAAGCGUGAGUGACGGUAAUGGGUAAAGAAGCACCGGCUAACUACGUG
rnacentral:rRNA from 1 species